UUUCAAGUAAACAGAGACACGGCUCCUGGGAGUGGAACCACCACAGUGUGUCUUCUGAUAUUCAGAUUUCUCGUGUUAAAUAUACAAUAUGGCUGAUUUUUAAAUAUGGAGACAUCUACAUGUUGUCUCCUGAAUAAAUCCCACAUUCAUCCCAGUUGGUUGGGGGUGGGGUUCAUGUUUCAAAGUAAAUCCCUAAGGGACAACAUUUAAACCAGAAAGACUUAGAAAAUGGACUGUCACCUAAUGUCCUAAAUUAAAGUUUAACUGUUUUUUUGUUUUUGUUUUUUCAGGAAGCCUGAAUCGGUUCGGUUCUAAGAGAAAAGCUUUGGCCUUUUACAUGUCAUCUACAAAAAGCAGCUGAUCCUCGAGACAGAGGACAAGCACACAGUACUGGAAUCAAUGUCCUCUUCAGGUUCCCUGGGCACUUCUUGGCUGAGGCCCAACCCAGGCCAUAGCUUCUGAGCCAGUCCUGACCUUCCUCAAAGGUUAGAGGUUCUUAGAGCUGACACAACCUCUCUCAAAUGCUGCUUCUUCGCACUUAGGGGAAGGCUGCCAACACACACACACCAGAAAAAGCUGGCUUUGUGGCUCUGAAGUUCAGUAUAGUAUUUAGGAACAAACCACUUUGAUUUCAUUAAAUUUUCUAUAUACUUUCUCCUGGAGAGGAACAGGUACUUCAGAGAACAUGGCUUCCAUUCAUCCUGUUGCAUGCAGUGUUCUGGCACAUGACUUAAAAACAUCUUGAAUGCAAAUAUUUACAAGACCAGCCUGUUUUCAAUCAACAGUACCAUUAAUUAUGUUAGUCAGAUGGCUCAGCUGUCAACUAAAUGUGUUAAUUGUGUGGAAGUUAGCUCUGUAAACUAGCUUCCCCAUACACUCUUUGUGGCUGCGUUCAGUGGCAUACUGCUCUUUAUGUGUGCUUGUUUUUUUUACAUUUAGCUGCAAUUAAGAGAAAUUCGCUGAUGAGAAAAUUUAGCAUGUCCAGUCACUAUUGACUCUAUGAGUACAAUACGGUCUUACCUCACACUUACAGGAUGAAUACACAAUGGCAGUGCUGUUUACUGAGCUACUAUUUCUGCCCCUGCAUCACAUGUCACUGUCUAUCUUUUUUUUUUUUUUAAACUGGCAAUCUUCUUAUUCCAUCCGACAAAACUAGAGAUGAAGGCCUAUCUCUCACUAUUACCUUACAAUGACCUGAGUUUGGCAAGCUCUAAUGAUCUGUGAAAGGGUCAGAGCUACCAAAUCCCAUUCUAAAACUCCGACUGGUCUUUAUACCCAGCACCCAUGACCUUCCAACGAGCCCCAGGGUCAAGGCUCACGUCAAGACCAUGUAUUUUGAUCUUUCAGUAAGGCUCUCACCUCUAAAUAUAGCAAUGCGUUGCUUUGUUGAACUCAGCUGCUCUCCACCUACUGAACUUGAGCCAUUCUCAAGACUCCUGGGCUACACUCUGGCCUGCCUCUUGUCAGAGCACCAACCAGGAGUGAAGCACUCAUAUGGGAUAUAUCCUCUCUCACUUUGUGCUAGCCUAGAUGCUUGGAGCUACUGAAUCCAAACAGCACUCGGUAAGGAGAAUCUGUUUUGGUUUGUCUCUGUGGUCUCAGGCCAGGCGAGGCCUGAUCAUUUGAAACCCUCCAUCUGAAUGAGUUUUGGGAAAGAUUUGUCUUUAAAGCCAAAGCUCCACAUGAGCAGAGCCCCAGAGGAGCCAGGAUGCCAGACACAAGACAUUGUAUUUCUGGUGAAGGGCUUGCAGCAUACUAAGACACUAGCACGGCAUUAAAUUUCACCAACUUCAGUGACAGAGUGACCCGGAGUGCUGCUGCCAUGCUCUCUCUGGAAGAAGUUUCCCUUAGGAGCUGGGAAUGUUUCCCAUAUUUUGGGAGUUGUAUCCUGCUGGUUUUCUGAUGCGUUCCAUGGGACUGACCUGCCAGGGCUCCAGGCUGCCUGCUGCACCUCUCGAAUCCGACCACUGCGCCUUUACUGAAGAAUCAAGAGUCCGUUCUGCUUGCUCAGAGCUCUGAGAAGGGCUGGGCUGUCCCUGCGGCCCGGAGCCGUGUCCUCCAGCACUGACAGGAGUGACAUUGCUGCCCACCAUACUCAAGGCGGCAGAAAUAAGACUUCAACAGAGGCCACAUGCUACAGGUACCUGCAGAAAGUGACAAGCCUCACCACCAAGGCCAGGGCGGCUGGGCUGACUUCUGUGGAUUCCAGUAAUUACAGGCUCUGCCUGCCUGCAGCCCAUCAUAGACCAAACAAGGGCUGAGUCACUGGAAAAGUCCUGGUGGCAUCCUACCUCCAACCACCCAGAGUUUGGCUGCAGAAAGGCUACAGGAAUGUAAGAGGACUUAUCUCUGAUCAGACCCUGUGCCAGGCUGGAAGGCACGAUGUAAGGAAUUGGUCCAUCUCAAAGGCACAGGCCACCUCCGAGAGAGCACCUAAAACCACAAGCAGCCCAGAAAGACAAGCUGCAGCCGAGACAGGUGCAUUUGGGUAUUGCAGGUAACAGGGACAUCAGGGCCACAAAGUAACAGGACAACAGCCUGUGACAAUAUGAUGCUUAAUCUUCUCUGUCAAUCUGCCUGGAUUUGGAGUCACUCAGGAGACAUACCCCUGGGAACCCCUUCUAAUUGAUGUCAAGUGAGUGACUUCUACAUUCAUCAACAGAGCACAUCAAACAAACCCUGGUGCUCCAGCCAGCAGCAUCCCAGGCUGCACAGAGAGUUCAAAAUGCAAUUACUAGAAACCAAUGGACCAUCCAGGAAAGCAACG